rnacentral:lncRNA from 1 species
AUGAGUGUUGGCUCUGGAGAGAUGAACAAAGAAAAGGGAGCACAUUGCUGGAGAAUUGAGCACAGACGUGAAGCGGAUUCAGCUUCGAAGGAGCAGUGCUGCCAGACUAUAAUAAAUCAUCCCCACGGGCCUCGAAUAUUGUGCCAUACAAGAGAAAUUUGGGAAGGAUACAUAUUUGCUAAGUGCAGACUGUGUGUACAUUGA